rnacentral:rRNA from 1 species
GCAGCGGCGGUAAGACGAGGGGGGCAAGUCUUAUUCAGUACGAAUCGGCGUACAGCGCUUGUAGGCGGCUUCUGUCGCUGGUUGUGAAAGUCUGAAGUCAUCCUUGAGAAUUGCAACCAGAACGCAGAUGCUUGAGUACUAUCGACGAAAGUGGAAUUCUUAAGGGAGGAAUGAAAUCUGUUGAACUUAGGAGGAAGACCGAAUGCGUAGGCAGCUUUCGAGAGAGUGACUGACGCUGAGAAGCGAAAGCGUGGGGAGCAAACGGGAUUAGAGACCCCAGUAGUCCACGCUGUCAACGAUGAGUGUUUGCUUUGUGGGUACAACUGCAAAGCGUAGCUAACGCGUCAAACACUCCGCCUGGGGACUACGACCGCAAGGUUAAAACUCAAAGGAUUUGACGGGGGCUCAUACACGCAGUGGAGCAUGGCGUUUAAUUCGACACUACGCGCAAAACCUUACCAUUCCUUGCAUAUUUUACAGGUGCUGCAUGGCU